AAAAGCUCCAAAUGCUGAAGAUAUGGGGCACAAAUUUCAAAUGAGUGAUCACUUUCACCACCAUCAUCCACCCAAUAACCUUCCAACUUCAAGCUUUUUACCUUUAACGAAUUGAUUUUCAAAUGACGAAAGCCCCCAACAUUAUUAAACACUAUAGCUUCCAAUGCAGGACAACCUGAUAGUAAAUUCUCAAUCUCAGCA
rnacentral:misc_RNA from 1 species